rnacentral:rRNA from 1 species
UACGGGGGGGCAAGCGUUGUUCGGAAUUACUGGGCGUAAAGGGCUCGUAGGCGGCCAACUAAGUCAGACGUGAAAUCCCUCGGCUUAACCGGGGAACUGCGUCUGAUACUGGAUGGCUUGAGUUUGGGAGAGGGAUGCGGAAUUCCAGGUGUAGCGGUGAAAUGCGUAGAUAUCUGGAGGAACACCGGUGGCGAAGGCGGCAUCCUGGACCAACACUGACGCUGAGGAGCGAAAGCCAGGGGAGCAAACGGG